rnacentral:rRNA from 1 species
AGGACGAACGCUGGCGGCGUGCUUAACACAUGCAAGUGGAGCGACGAACCAGGGCUUGCCCUGGGGCAGAGCCGCGAACGGGUGAGUAACACGUGGGUUACCUGCCUUGAUGACCGGGACAACCCGAGGAAACUCGGGCUAAUACCGGAUGUGCCCGCAAGGGGAAAGGAAGCUUCGGCCUCCGCAUCAAGAUGGGCCCGCGGCCCAUUAGCUUGUUGGUGAGGUAACGGCUCACCAAGGCUUCGAUGGGUAGCUGGUCUGAGAGGACGAUCAGCCACACUGGGACUGAGACACGGCCCAGACUCCUACGGGAGGCAGCAGUGGGGAAUCUUGCGCAAUGCGCGAAAGCGUGACGCAGCAACGCCGCGUGGGGGAAGAAGGCUUUCGGGUUGUAAACCCCUUUCAGUUGGGACGAAGCUUCUCCGGUGAAUAGCCGGACGGAGUGACGGUACCUUCACAAGAAGCACCGGCUAACUACGUGCCAGCAGCCGC